rnacentral:misc_RNA from 1 species
GUAUUUCAUUGCGUUAAACGCGACAUACAUUCCAUGAGACUUUGUUGUAGUGUGUGUGUAAAGACGCAGAACCACAGCAGGGGGACAGAGCCCACCCAGGCCAUAGAACUACAGAGGGUGCACAGGUGUGAGUGGAUGUGUAAACAGAGCGUGCACAUGCCCCCGGUUUGGGGACCAGCAACAACUCGUGUUGACAAUUCGGUAAUGAUCCUUCCGCAGGUUCACCUACGGAAA